rnacentral:rRNA from 1 species
AGCGAACGCUGGCGGCAGGCCUAACACAUGCAAGUCGAACGAACUCUUCGGAGUUAGUGGCGGACGGGGGAGUAACACGUGGGAACGUGCCGUUAGGUUCGGAAUAACUCAGGGAAACUUGUGCUAAUACCGAAUGUGCCCUGCGGGGGAAAGAUUUAUCGCCUUUAGAGCGGCCCGCGUCUGAUUAGCUAGUUGGUGAGGUAAAGGCUCACCAAGGCGACGAUCAGUAGCUGGUCUGAGAGGAUGAUCAGCCACAUUGGGACUGAGACACGGCCCAAACUCCUACGGGAGGCAGCAGUGGGGAAUCUUGCGCAAUGGGCGAAAGCCUGACGCAGCCAUGCCGCGUGAAUGAUGAAGGUCUUAGGAUUGUAAAAUUCUUUCACCGGGGACGAUACUGACGGUACCCGGAGAAGAAGCCCCGGCUAACUUCGUG